UGGCUCAGGAUGAACGCUAGCGACAGGCUUAACACAUGCAAGUCGAGGGGCAGCGGUGGUGAAGGCUUGCCUUUACCAGCCGGCGACCGGCGCACGGGUGAGUAACACGUAUGCAACCUGCCUGCCACAGCCGGAUAAUCGGGAGAAAUUCCGUCUAAUACGGCAUAAUGCAUCGACGGGACAUCCUGUUGGUGCCAAAGGUUGAUUCCGGUGGCGGAUGGGCAUGCGUCGCAUUAGUUAGUUGGCGGUGUAACGGACCACCAAGACGACGAUGCGUAGGGGUUCUGAGAGGAAGGUCCCCCACACUGGUACUGAGACACGGACCAGACUCCUACGGGAGGCAGCAGUGAGGAAUAUUGGUCAAUGGGCGGGAGCCUGAACCAGCCAAGUCGCGUGAGGGAUGACGGUCCUAUGGGUUGUAAACCUCUUUUGCCGGGGAGCAAAGUGCCGCACGUGUGCGGUUUGGAGAGUACCCGGAGAAAAAGCAUCGGCUAACUCCGUGCCAGCAGCCGCGGUAAUACGGAGGAUGCGAGCGUUAUCCGGAUUUAUUGGGUUUAAAGGGUGCGUAGGCGGACGCUUAAGUCAGCGGUAAAAUUGCGGGGCUCAACCUCGUCGAGCCGUUGAAACUGGGUGCCUUGAGUGGGCGAGAAGUACGCGGAAUGCGUGGUGUAGCGGUGAAAUGCACAGAUAUCACGCAGAACUCCGAUUGCGAAGGCAGCGUACCGGCGCCCUACUGACGCUGAAGCGCGAAGGCGUGGGUAUCGAACAGGAUUAGAUACCCUGGUAGUCCACGCAGUAAACGAUGAAUGCUAGUUGUCCGGGGCGAUUGAGUUCUGGGUGACACAGCGAAAGCGUAAGCAUUCCACCAGGGGAGUACGCCGGCAACGGUGAAACUCAAAGGAAUUGACGGGGGCCUGCACAAGCGGAGGAACAUGUGGUUUAAUUCGAUGAUACGCGAGGAACCUUACCCGGGCUCAAACGCAGGAGGGAUGUUUUUGAAAGGAGGCAGCCAGCAAUGGUCUCCUGCGAGGUGCUGCAUGGUUGUCGUCAGCUCGUGCCGUGAGGUGUCGGCUUAAGUGCCAUAACGAGCGCAACCCCUACCUACAGUUGCCAUCGCGUGAUGGCGGGCACUCUGUGGGGACUGCCUGCGCAAGCAGUGAGGAAGGCGGGGAUGACGUCAAAUCAGCACGGCCCUUACGUCCGGGGCGACACACGUGUUACAAUGGCAGGUACAGCGGGAAGCCACCCGGCGACGGGGCGCGGAACCCGAAAACCUGUCUCAGUUCGGAUUGGAGUCUGCAACCCGACUCCAUGAAGCUGGAUUCGCUAGUAAUCGCGCAUCAGCCACGGCGCGGUGAAUACGUUCCCGGGCCUUGUACACACCGCCCGUCAAGCCAUGGAAGCCGGGGGUGCCUGAAGUGCGUGACCGCAAGGAGCGCCCUAGGGUAAAACUCGGUGAUCUGGGGACUAAGUCGUAACAAGGU
rnacentral:rRNA from 1 species